UUUUGACAAUACCGUACAGGUAGAAAAUUUCGAGGUGUUUUAAUUUCGCGUUUUUCGUGGGUGGCUGCAGAACACAACCCGUGGAAGGCUUCGUAUACACAUGCGAGAUAGUGCCACACCCCACAAAAUGUACUACCCGCGAAAUUUUCCAGAAUAUGAAAAUUUACACCCUCGAAAUUUUCCACCCGUACGGUACUAUACUGUGUAGCCUCGAUCCCAGCCUGGAAUCGAGGCUAUAUACUGUGGGCCUCAUUGUGACACCAGUCAACUCAUAACGAAACAGCACAAUUGAAGAGCUAUACGUAACAGUGACUGGUGCAUGUACGUUCCACGCAACAAAUAAAAUUGAUGGACUCUAUACUAUAGUCAUUUGACUCAUUUACCAGUGCAUUAUUUCAAUUUGAUGUUAAAAAACAAAAUUUAAUUAUAGUAUAUAUACACAUGUAUAGGUACGAAACAAUCUUGGUGUGUUCUUAAUUGGAUGCAGUAUUAUACGACAGACUAAUGCAAAAGUAUAGCAAAACUAUUAUUACUCAUUUUCGAUGUUCAUAUAAUACCCUCUGUUCACCAGCCUGCUUAUCUUCAAUAGCAGUAACUACCAUAGCAGCUUCUUCGGAAUGCUCCCAGUCCAAACACGAGCCCCACAAUAGCCCCCACACCCACAACACCUCCAACAACAGCACCAAUAGUGCACCC